GCUCCUUUCAAGGUGAAGAGAGGAAGUGGCUCCUCUCUGAGCUAAUCACCCUCUACAUCACUUGGGUGAGUCCAUGUACCCUUCACAGGAAUGUGGACCAAGCUUUCACUUCAAAUAUGGGCUCAUGACCUUGUACUCCAAAAGCACCUCCCACAGAACCCCAUCCCAAAGGUGCUCUACUGGAAGGAAAUCUAGGAACAGCUGAACAGGUGCACCUAACAAAGUGACGGACAAAGGAAGAAGAGCGAGGGAAGUCGUGUUUGGAAGCAGCAAAGGUGAAGGAAUGCUGAACAAAGGAUGCUGAAGAUGGAGCUGCCAGGCAGGAGUAAAAGACCACAGAGAAGAUUUAUAGAUGCAGUGAAGAUGGGCGUGUGGAGGAUUGGUGUGACAAAAAUUACGGUGAUGAUGGGUUACACAAGGUGUCCUUUGGCUCCGGAGCUGUGACGCUGCUUUGUGACAGCACCUAGGCAAGGAUCACUACCAACUUAUCGCCCACUGUAUGAGCACUGUGUAUCAUAUUUACUGUAUAUGUACUGUACCCUGAAGCAUCAGCAUUGUGCAAGGGGUAUUACAACCCAAACAGUAGACUGUUCUUACAUUUAAGUGAAAAACAUCUAAUCAGCGAGAUCAAAGCGGAUUAAAAGAAAACCAAUCAGCGACUAAAAACAAAGGACAACAAAGUGGAAAACAUAAAGCUUCCAAACAACACAUGCAUCAUGUUCUUGGCAUUCAAAUAUUGUUGAGGGCAGGGCGCGAAGGCACUGACACGAAAGGACAGCUCGUGCAUAUUUUCUUCAAGCCAACAGCUUCUCACAUGGCGCCACUAUAUGACACCCUGAAAGAAAGUGUCAUAUGUGAUGGUGAAGCUUUUUUCUGGCAGGAAACAAAGAAGCAGCUGAUAUUGCAUGUUGGUUAAACACAUGCCAAGAAGCCAACAGAAGUGUGAGCCACUGGAUUGCUGACUAUAUUUUCUUUGCUGUUUGUCAGGAACUGAGAUUUACUUUGUAUGGGUUGAACUUGUCUGUUGACAUCAUGGUUUAUUUUAUUCUGUUGUCUUCCUGUGGGAAAGGUAAUUAUUCCUGGCUAGAACUUGCCCCAGUACUUUUGUCCAUAUACUCUAGUGUAAUGACACUGUCAUAAACUAUUUGGUCCCAUACCAACAAAUAAACA